rnacentral:rRNA from 1 species
UACGAAGGGGGCUAGCGUUGCUCGGAAUCACUGGGCGGAAAGCGCACGUAGGCGGGUUGUUAAGUCGGGGGUGAAAUCCUGGAGCUCAACUCCAGAACUGCCUUCGAUACUGGCGACCUUGAGUCCGGGAGAGGUGAGUGGAACUCCGAGUGUAGAGGUGAAAUUCGUAGAUAUUCGGAAGAACACCAGUGGCGAAGGCGGCUCACUGGCCCGGUACUGACGCUGAGGUGCGAAAGCGUGGGGAGCAAACAGG